rnacentral:rRNA from 1 species
GCUUGUCUCAAAGAUUAAGCCAUGCAUGUCUAAGUAUAAGCUUUUAUACGGUGAAACUGCGAAUGGCUCAUUAAAACAGUUAUAGUUUAUUUGAUGGUCACUCACUACUUGGAUAACCGUAGUAAUUCUAGAGCUAAUACAUGCGUCAAGUCCCUACCGCGCGAGCGGGAAGGAUGUGUUUAUUAGAUACAACCAACCCUUCGGGUCCCUGGUGAAUCAUAAUAACCGAACGAACCGCAUGCUUCGGCGGCGGUGGUUCAUUCAAGUUUCUGCCCUAUCAGCUUUCGAUGGUAGGGUAUUGGCCUACCAUGGCGUUAACGGGUAACGGAGAAUUAGGGUUCGAUUCCGGAGAGGGAGCCUGAGAGAUGGCUACCACAUCCAAGGAAGGCAGCAGG